rnacentral:rRNA from 2 species
GAUUGGUGCUUGCAUCAUGAUUUACAUCUGAGUGAGUGGCGAACUGGUGAGUAACACGUGGGAAACCUGCCCAGAAGCGGGGGAUAACACCUGGAAACAGAUGCUAAUACCGCAUAACAACUUGGACCGCAUGGUCCGAGUUUGAAAGAUGGCUUCGGCUAUCACUUUUGGAUGGUCCCGCGGCGUAUUAGCUAGAUGGUGGGGUAACGGCUCACCAUGGCAAUGAUACGUAGCCGACCUGAGAGGGUAAUCGGCCACAUUGGGACUGAGACACGGCCCAAACUCCUACGGGAGGCAGCAGUAGGGAAUCUUCCACAAUGGACGAAAGUCUGAUGGAGCAACGCCGCGUGAGUGAAGAAGGGUUUCGGCUCGUAAAACUCUGUUGUUAAAGAAGAACAUAUCUGAGAGUAACUGUUCAGGUAUUGACGGUAUUUAACCAGAAAGCCACGGCUAACUACGUGCCAGCAGCCGCGGUAAUACGUAGGUGGCAAGCGUUGUCCGGAUUUAUUGGGCGUAAAGCGAGCGCAGGCGGUUUUUUAAGUCUGAUGUGAAAGCCUUCGGCUCAACCGAAGAAGUGCAUCGGAAACUGGGAAACUUGAGUGCAGAAGAGGACAGUGGAACUCCAUGUGUAGCGGUGAAAUGCGUAGAUAUAUGGAAGAACACCAGUGGCGAAGGCGGCUGUCUGGUCUGUAACUGACGCUGAGGCUCGAAAGUAUGGGUAGCAAACAGGAUUAGAUACCCUGGUAGUCCAUACCGUAAACGAUGAAUGCUAAGUGUUGGAGGGUUUCCGCCCUUCAGUGCUGCAGCUAACGCAUUAAGCAUUCCGCCUGGGGAGUACGGCCGCAAGGCUGAAACUCAAAGGAAUUGACGGGGGCCCGCACAAGCGGUGGAGCAUGUGGUUUAAUUCGAAGCUACGCGAAGAACCUUACCAGGUCUUGACAUACUAUGCAAAUCUAAGAGAUUAGACGUUCCCUUCGGGGACAUGGAUACAGGUGGUGCAUGGUUGUCGUCAGCUCGUGUCGUGAGAUGUUGGGUUAAGUCCCGCAACGAGCGCAACCCUUAUUAUCAGUUGCCAGCAUUAAGUUGGGCACUCUGGUGAGACUGCCGGUGACAAACCGGAGGAAGGUGGGGAUGACGUCAAAUCAUCAUGCCCCUUAUGACCUGGGCUACACACGUGCUACAAUGGAUGGUACAACGAGUUGCGAACUCGCGAGAGUAAGCUAAUCUCUUAAAGCCAUUCUCAGUUCGGAUUGUAGGCUGCAACUCGCCUACAUGAAGUCGGAAUCGCUAGUAAUCGCGGAUCAGCAUGCCGCGGUGAAUACGUUCCCGGGCCUUGUACACACCGCCCGUCACACCAUGAGAGUUUGUAACACCCAAAGUCGGUGGGGUAACCUUUUAGGAACCAGCCGCCU